GUGCCAGAACAGGGAGUGAGGCGGCGGAGCGGUAGCCAGGGAGACCAGAGGCAGUUGCCAGAGAAAUGCAGCGCUGAGCACCGAGGCUUGGGGUGGGGGGAGAGUGCGCGUGGGGGAGGGGAGCCCCCGCCCCCCCGCUGCGCUUCCAGAAGCGCCCCCUGGCUUCCCAGCGCUGUCACGGAGGCUGCGGCGCUUCGCAGUGCUCCCGGGAGGCACGUGCAGAGGGCCGAGGCCUGCAAGGCGCACCCCGCUGGCCGCCUGCACCGGGGCUGCCUCGACCUCCCGGAGGCCCCGGGGCAGCCCUGGGCCCCGUCACGGAGCCUGUGGCCGGGCCCGGGCACCCCGCGAGCACGCUACUAAGUCAGAAGCGACUGAAUGACACACAAGACCCGCUCCAGGACGCCGCCCAGGGAGCGACGCAAGUGAGGCACCCAAAGGUACCACGGGGAAGCCGCGGAAUGUUUCUGUUCAAGCGGAAUCUCAGAGUGGAAGAUCUGAAAAGUGGCUCCAGCUGGAGGACUCCUGGCACCAGGAUAAGAAGUGCUGUCCCCGGACACUGGCAGAACAGAACGCUAAGAGGACUUCCUCGGCUGCGCUGCAGUCCGGUCCGGGGCCCUCCAUGAAUCCCCAGCCCUGGGCCAGCUUCCUGCUAAGGGGGCAGCGUGAAAUCCAGGAAGCCUGAGCCCAGGCCCCUGAGGCCCUGGGGACAAAGCAGUACCACAGAACACAUGCUGCGGUGUGACAUUUUACAUAUUUUGGAAGCACUGCUCACUCAGCCGCUUUCCUCACGGAGAAAGGCGUCAAGGAGCCCCGACACUCACCGCCACCUCCGGAAGCCUCGUCCCGGCUGCAGAGGCCGUCCGUCUUCACUGCUCAAGUGUGUCCGCGGAGCGCCCUCAGCCCCCGGGGCUCGCCCGAGCUCCGGACCCCCGGGCGUUCACAGCACCGCACAACCCCUCACUCUGCAGGCCAGAGCUCUCCUCUCCACUCACACACUCGG